ACGUAGGGUGCAAGCGUUAAUCGGAAUUACUGGGCGUAAAGCGUGCGCAGGCGGUUCUGUAAGUCAGAUGUGAAAUCCCCGGGCUCAACCUGGGAAUUGCGUUUGAUACUGCGGCGCUGGAAUGCAGGAGAGGAUGGCGGAAUUCCCAGUGUAGAGGUGAAAUUCGUAGAUAUUGGGAAGAACACCGGUGGCGAAGGCGGCCAUCUGGCCUGUAAUUGACGCUGAGGCGCGAAAGCGUGGGGAGCAAACAGGA
rnacentral:rRNA from 1 species